AAUCAUACUAGUAGUCCUAUGAUAAUAAUCUAUAUGUAGUAUUUAGCCUUACACUCUUAAUUUUGUUAGUUUAUAAGGAAAAUAAUGUUUUUUCUUGAUUACAUCAUGAAAUUCCAUCCAUGUUAAACUCCCGUGAGUCCUUCUAUAUUCUUGGACCGCUUCCUUAUAUAAACCCCAAAAACCUAUUUCUUUUCAAUCAAUCCAUAACAUCAACACAUAAACAAAAGUCCCAUCUUCUCCUUCUUUUUCUGUGUCAAACAAAGAGAAACACAUAUCAUACAAAACAAACAAAAAAAAACAUGAUAACGAGAGAGAGUCAAAGGCUGAGUAGCGUCACAAUAAUGAUUCUUAUGGUAACUCUUGUCUGGUCUGUAACUUUACAGACCUGCAUUGCCAGAAAAGGAAGACAUUGGAGGCACCACCAUAGCAGCUCCUCUUCUUCCUCAACCUUGUCUGAUUCCUUGUCCAGCAAGAAACCAAAAAGCCACCACAAUAGCCAUUCCCAUAAGUCAAAACCACAACUAAAAACUCCGCCGCCAAAAUCCGGCUCACCUGUCCUGCCACAACCACCACAAGUACAACCGCCACCAUCACCACAAGUACAACCGCCACCACCGUCACCUCUUCCGCUGCAGCCACUUGAAGGGUCUCAAGAAUUCAAUGUGCUUGAUUUUGGCGCUAAGGGUGAUGGCAUGAGUGAUGACACUGAGGUACAGAUUCAAAACAUUUCAUUAUCCAAUUUAAAAAAUUCAACCUAUUGGUUCUUGAUUAAAUCAAAAAUUUAAUCUUCGCUUUCAUUAACAUUCUUGUAGAAAAAGAAAAAAAAAACAGAAUGUGAAUUACAGUUGAGAAGGUAACACGAGACAGAACAAAAAACAGAGCUCACAAAAGCUUUCUCUUUUGUCUGUAAAGUCAAUCAACUGUUUUUUCCCUUUCAAUGUUAAUUCCGAUAAAACCAAACAAAAAAAAAUGUAGAGAAGUGACAAAAAAGUUACCAAAGUUUAGAGGGGACCAGAAUCUCUGUGAUUUUCCUCCACAAUUCUGUUUUCUGUGAGAAAAAAAAUAAUAAUAAUAAAAAGCUUUAACGUUAUCUGCAGGCGUUUGAAGCGGCAUGGGCUUCUGCUUGCAAAGUGGAGGCGUCAACUAUGGUCAUACCGCCUGACUAUAUCUUCCUCGUUGGCCCCAUAUCCUUCUCGGGUCCUUAUUGUCAAGCAAACAUUGUAUUCCAGGUGAGAGUUACUCAUCAAGAUUCGAAAACAAAAAUGUAAAAGAAUGUACCCUUUGGGCUGAUGGACGUGCGCCUUUUGUUUGGUUGCAGUUGGAUGGGAUGAUUGUAGCUCCUACGGACUCGGAGUCAUGGGGAAGAGGGCUUCUGUGGUGGAUAGAGUUCAC
rnacentral:lncRNA from 1 species